GAUGAACGCUGGCGGCGUGCCUAAUACAUGCAAGUCGAGCGGAGCGGGGACGGGUGAGUAACACGUGGAUAACCUCCUAUAAGACUGGAAUAACUUCGGGAAACCGGAGCAAAACCGGCUACUUAUAGAUGGAUCCGCGCUGCAUUAGCUAAUUGGUAAGGUAACGGCUUAACAAGGCAACGAUGCAUAGCCGACCUGAGAGGGGUAUUAGCCAACCGGGAAUGGAGACACGGUCCAGACUCCUACGGGAGGCAGCAGUAGGGAAUCUGCCGCAAUGGGCGAAAGCCUGACGGAGCAAGGCCGCGUGAGUGAUGAAGGUCUUCGGAUCGUAAAACUCUGUUAUUAGGGAAGCGGUACCUAAUCAGAAAGCCACGGCUAACUACGUGCCAGCAGCCGCGGUAAUUC
rnacentral:rRNA from 1 species